CUUCUCCCUGGUUCAGAACUGCUUCCCUGCAAGAGCUGAAGGGUCCCUCACAGACAGCACCCUCUUAUCUAGCAUUGCAAGCUCCUGGGAGACUCAGCCUCACAAAUCUGUGUCAGCAUUGGGAAGGCACUGGGAACUUCAGAUGCUCCACGAAGAAAGCUCUCCUGGUCAAGGGGCAUGUGCUGAUGGGCCUUGGAACACUACUAGGAAUGAAUCCAGCCCCAGCACAGAGUGGCCAGGCUGGUCCUGGAGCUGGCAGCCUUAACCUUCCAAACACACUGCCCCUCCCUGCAUGACAAGUGUCCUACUUCCCAAUCCUCCCCUACUGCUGGGACUCACAGGCUCUCCUGGAGUCAGAGUCCUACCACUCAUGAAUUUGGGGGGCCCUUCCUCACAGAUUUCCAUGUCCUUCUACAAGCCUGUCCCAUUCCUCAGGAACUACUCUGUGUCCUCCCACAUCAGGGCUCUGCUUUCUGACUCCAGCAGGUUCUGAUCAGCUCCUCCAUGGAAAGAGGUGGUUUUCAGACUUCAGCCCAUGUUGAAAUCCUCAGGAGGGCUGUGCAUAAACUGCUGGUCUCAUCAGUGGGCUGGAGACCUGAUAAUCCGCAUAUCUAAGCAGGUUAUCAUUCAGUGCUGCUGCUAUUGGUGCAGGGAGUCCACUGAGAGCCAUCCAAGCACUUUAUAAGGUGCCUUGUUGGGUACAGAUGGACAAUGCUCAGCUGGGGGAACUCUGGCCUGUGCACCUGGUUCGGGCAGGAAGCGGGAUUUGCACCGAUUAGGGAUGUACCCGCUGCCGAUCUAAGGCAGGAUCUGUCACUGGUGUUCCUUUUGUUUCUCUCAGUCUCAGUAUACAAUCACUGGUCUAUUAACUCAUGAUCCUCCUGCUUCAGCCUCUCAAGUUCAAGUUCUGGAAUCACAGAUGCAAUGGCACCCCUCCCGUUGUGAUAACCAAAAGAAUGACUCUAGACAUUGCCAGAUGUCUUCUGGGGAAGAAAAAAAAAUCGCACCUGGGUAAGAAAUACUGAUCCAGAGUUCAUCAGUUACAACUGGGAAGAAGUCUCAUUUUAACAACAACAAAAAAUCUAUCAUCCAUGAUACAGAACUAGCAGAUUCAUGCAUAACAUGUUUCAAAGUUCAAGAAGCGCACGUCUCCACUCAGUGCACCUACUUGCUCACCCAGUAUGUGAAAGCAAAUCACAAGCCACUCCCCACCCUUCACAUAAACAAAAUUAAAAUAACCCAAUAAUCUGCUAGCAAACAGUAGUGCUGCCUGAACAUCGGCUAUGCCCAUAGCUCCUUAGUCCAUUGGAUCUGGGAUCAAGUCAGGAGAAGAAUAAUUAACCAAACAGAGCAGUGCUAGCAGUGGCUUUCUGCAGAGCCAUUCUCAUUUGUGACACAAGACAUAUUGUACUCAGAUGGCUGCAGGCAAGGGCUGCCUAGCUCAUAUGGGAUGACAUCUUUGCUUGUCAUGUGUGGGAGACAGAAUGGCCCCCAAAGACGUCCACAUCAUAACUGUCAGAACCCAUGAGUGUGAAACGGCAAAUGGAACUCGGCAGGUGUGACAAGCAUUCUGAGAUGGGGAGGUUUCCUGAAUUAUCCAGAUGGGCCCGAUGUAAUCCCCAGGGCCAGAAGAGGAAGGUAGGAAGAUCAGAAUUGGAGAAGAUGAGAAGACAGAAGCAGAGACUGGAGUGAUGGGGGCCAUGAACCAUGAAAUGAAGGUAGCUUCCGGAAGCCAGGAGAUAGAAAAUGAGAUUAUACCCAAGGCCCUCUAGAGGGAGGUAGCUCUGGAUUUCAGCAGCGAAGCCCCUCCUCUAUACUUAGGGCAGUAAUAGUGCCACAUGAAACCUGAGUGCUGAGGAGCUGCAGGGAUCUGACUUCUUGUGAUAGACUCAUCCAGGAAGAAAGCCGAGUAAGAGCACUCACACUAGCGCUGGCAGAAUUAAAUGAAGCCACAUGAUGUAAGCUGCUUGGCCUCGGUCUCCUCGCUACUCACCUUCUUGCUGUGUCUGUGGCAGAGCUGAGGGGCACUGGGGGACAGGCUGUGCCAUGCGGAGGACAUCAUCGGCCUCCCACUGGGCACCAUGUUGACCUCAGUCAUCAGAAUUAGCACAUUAGGGUUGUAUAAUAUGAGGAAGCUUCAAGAGCCCACGAUUGUUCUCUGACAGGCCAACAGGCCUCUGGGUAUUCGUCUUUAAUCUGAUUAGCUGACAAAAACUUUCCCAAUUCCAUGGCUGUCUCUUCACUGCUGUCUACUACACAUUUCUACACACACACACGGUCCAUCCUACAAAAGCACCCAUGGGAUCCAGUGCAGAGGGACUCUUAAAACCACUCUUCAAAAUAAAACAGACCUUCACCUAGUAGUACAUUCAGGUGAAUUUGUGGCAACAUUCAGAGAUCUGAACUGUACACACAAAUCUGUUGUCUGAUUGGCUUUGUUCUUUUCUGACCUGGAUUUCUCUUUAAAAUAUAGCCCAUCAGAAGAGUGAAAACUGGAAAUACCACUGUUAUAACAGCUUCAAAUGAAAGAAGUCAAAUGAAAUCCCAAAAACCAGUUACAUUAAAACUUGCUUCUUGUUA